UCGAGGAUCUUCGGCAAUGGGCGCAAGCCUGACCGAGCGACGCCGCGUGGGCGAUGAAGGCCUUCGGGUUGUAAAGCCCUGUCGAGGGGGAGAAAGGCGAAAGCUUGAUCUAUCCCUGGAGGAAGCACGGGCUAAGUUCGUGCCAGCAGCCGCGGUAAGACGAACCGUGCGAACGUUAUUCGGAAUCACUGGGCUUAAAGGGCGCGUAGGCGGGUUGCCAAGUCUGUGGUGAAAUACUUCAGCUUAACUGGAGAACGGCCGUGGAUACUGGCGACCUCGAGGGGGGUAGGGGCUUGCGGAACUGUGCGUGGAGCGGUGAAAUGCGUUGAUAUGCACAGGAACUCCGGUGGCGAAGGCGGCGAGCUGGACCCUUUCUGACGCUGAGGCGCGAAAGCCAGGGGAGCGAACGGGAUUAGAUACCCCCGUAGUCC
rnacentral:rRNA from 1 species